UACGUAGGGACCAAGCGUUGUUCGGAUUUACUGGGCGUAAAGGGCGCGUAGGCGGCUUAACAAGUCACUUGUGAAAUCUCCGGGCUUAACUCGGAACGGCCAAGUGAAACUGUCAAGCUAGAGUGCAGGAAGGGGCAAUCGGAAUUCUUGGUGUAGCGGUGAAAUGCGUAGAUAUCAAGAGGAACACCUGAGGUGAAGACGGGUUGCUGGGCUGACACUGACGCUGAGGCGCGAAAGCCAGGGGAGCAAACGGG
rnacentral:rRNA from 1 species